GAGCUUGCUCUUAUGAAGUUAGCGGCGGACGGGUGAGUAACACGUGGGUAACCUGCCCAUAAGACUGGGAUAACUCCGGGAAACCGGGGCUAAUACCGGAUAACAUUUUGAACCGCAUGGUUCGAAAUUGAAAGGCGGCUUCGGCUGUCACUUAUGGAUGGACCCGCGUCGCAUUAGCUAGUUGGUGAGGUAACGGCUCACCAAGGCAACGAUGCGUAGCCGACCUGAGAGGGUGAUCGGCCACACUGGGACUGAGACACGGCCCAGACUCCUACGGGAGGCAGCAGUAGGGAAUCUUCCGCAAUGGACGAAAGUCUGACGGAGCAACGCCGCGUGAGUGAUGAAGGCUUUCGGGUCGUAAAACUCUGUUGUUAGGGAAGAACAAGUGCUAGUUGAAUAAGCUGGCACCUUGACGGUACCUAACCAGAAAGCCACGGCUAACUACGUGCCAGCAGCCGCGGUAAUACGUAGGUGGCAAGCGUUAUCCGGAAUUAUUGGGCGUAAAGCGCGCGCAGGUGGUUUCUUAAGUCUGAUGUGAAAGCCCACGGCUCAACCGUGGAGGGUCAUUGGAAACUGGGAGACUUGAGUGCAGAAGAGGAAAGUGGAAUUCCAUGUGUAGCGGUGAAAUGCGUAGAGAUAUGGAGGAACACCAGUGGCGAAGGCGACUU
rnacentral:rRNA from 1 species